GAAAAGUCACUAUUUUAUUGUCUUUAGACCUCGACUACAGGCCUUCCGAUGUCUACUUGCAAUUAGACGUUGGCUUUCCCCAUCACAGACAUCAAACAUGUCCGAAAAUAUCUCAUUUGGACGCCAAUAUUAACUUUUUUUUGUCACUUAGGCAUCAACCUCCCUCCCCACAAAAGUAAAAAAUGUUUGAAAUUAUCUCAUUUUGGGCAUCAAUAUUAAUUUUUUUUACCACUUAGACAUCGGCUAAAAGGGGGCCGACGUUUUAGAGCACUUAGAUGUCGACUAGGAAAGGGGGUCGACGUCAAAUACUCUGCAUUUUUACCCAUUCCAGAACGUGAGCACCAGUUAGGCGUUUUCUCUCUUGCUGCGUUCAACUUCUUCCUCGACUUUCUCUUGUUCGUCAUUAACGUUCAGGUAAGUUUUCUUCCACUUUGCAUUGUUUAAAAUCAUUUUACACCAAUUAUAUUCCGUUUGGGACCAUUAUCUUUCAUUUGCAUUGAUUAAAAUUCCUUUUCAUUGACUUUUGGUGCAAUUCUUGUGCAUGUUCUAGGACAACUGCGGCGACGAUUUUUGAACCACUAUUGUGUGUGUUUUUCUCCUGACCCUCACAACAACACCUGUUUUCUUCCUCACCUUCAGAGCUAGUUUCAUUUUUGGGUUUUU
rnacentral:lncRNA from 1 species